rnacentral:rRNA from 1 species
UACGAAGGGGGCUAGCGUUGCUCGGAAUCACUGGGCGUAAAGGGUGCGUAGGCGGGUUCUUAAGUCAGAGGUGAAAUCCUGGAGCUCAACUCCAGAACUGCCUUUGAUACUGAGAGUCUUGAGUUCGGGAGAGGUGAGUGGAACUGCGAGUGUAGAGGUGAAAUUCGUAGAUAUUCGCAAGAACACCAGUGGCGAAGGCGGCUCACUGGCCCGGAACUGACGCUGAGGUGCGAAAGCGUGGGGAGCAAACAGG